rnacentral:ncRNA from 1 species
ACACGUGAAGAGGCGAUUAUAGAUGAAUAAGAAGAGAAGAUCCUAUGGAGUUUUAAUUCAUUAAGCAAAUUAAGGCUCAAACAAGCCAACAGGCCUCAGCAUAUCAUCCCUCCAUUAAAAAUUUUGGUUGGGGUGACCUAGGAGCAUAAUUCAACCUCCGAAAUGACUUAAACUAAGGCUGCACAAGUCUAAGUGAGUUAUUACACAUUGAUCCAAUAAUAUGAUCAAUGGGAUAGGUAACCCUAAAGAUAACAGCACAAUCCUAUUUUAGAGUCCAUAUCAACAAUAGAGUUUAUGACCUCAAUGUUGGAUCAGGAUAUCCUAAUGGUGUAGCUGCUAUUAAGGGUUCCUUUGUUCAACAAUUAAAGUCCUUCGUGAUCUGAGUUCAGACCAUAGCAUUCCAAGUCGGUUUCUAUCUAUUUAGCA